rnacentral:rRNA from 1 species
AUUGAACGCUGGCGGCAGGCCUAACACAUGCAAGUCGAACGGUAGCACAGAGAGCUUGCUCUCGGGUGACGAGUGGCGGACGGGUGAGUAAUGUCUGGGAAACUGCCCGAUGGAGGGGGAUAACUACUGGAAACGGUAGCUAAUACCGCAUAACGUCGCAAGACCAAAGAGGGGGACCUUAGGGCCUCUUGCCAUCGGAUGUGCCCAGAUGGGAUUAGCUUGUAGGUGAGGUAACGGCUCACCUAGGCGACGAUCCCUAGCUGGUCUGAGAGGAUGACCAGCCACACUGGAACUGAGACACGGUCCAGACUCCUACGGGAGGCAGCAGUGGGGAAUAUUGCACAAUGGGCGCAAGCCUGAUGCAGCCAUGCCGCGUGUAUGAAGAAGGCCUUCGGGUUGUAAAGUACUUUCAGCGGGGAGGAAGGGAGUGAGGUUAAUAACCUCAUUCAUUGACGUUACCCGCAGAAGAAGCACCGGCUAACUCCGUGCCAGCAGCCGCGGUAAUACGGAGGGUGCGAGCGUUAAUCGGAAUUACUGGGCGUAAAGCGCACGCAGGCGGUCUGUCAAGUCGGAUGUGAAAUCCCCGGGCUCACCCUGGGAACUGCAUUCGAAACUGGCAGGCUGGAGUCUUGUAGAGGGGGGUAGAAUUCCAGGUGUAGCGGUGAAAUGCGUAGAGAUCUGGAGGAAUACCGGUGGCGAAGGCGGCCCCCUGGACGAAGACUGACGCUCAGGUGCGAAAGCGUGGGGAGCAAACAGGAUUAGAUACCCUGGUAGUCCACGCUGUAAACGAUGUCGACUUGGAGGUUGUUCCCUUGAGGAGUGGCUUCCGGAGCUAACGCGUUAAGUCGACCGCCUGGGGAGUACGGCCGCAAGGUUAAAACUCAAAUGAAUUGACGGGGGCCCGCACAAGCGGUGGAGCAUGUGGUUUAAUUCGAUGCAACGCGAAGAACCUUACCUACUCUUGACAUCCAGAGAACUUAGCAGAGAUGCUUUGGUGCCUUCGGGGACUCUGAGACAGGUGCUGCAUGGCUGUCGUCAGCUCGUGUUGUGAAAUGUUGGGUUAAGUCCCGCAACGAGCGCAACCCUUAUCCUUUGUUGCCAGCGAUUCGGUCGGGAACUCAAAGGAGACUGCCAGUGAUAAACUGGAGGAAGGUGGGGAUGACGUCAAGUCAUCAUGGCCCUUACGAGUAGGGCUACACACGUGCUACAAUGGCAUAUACAAAGAGAAGCGACCUCGCGAGAGCAAGCGGACCUCAUAAAGUAUGUCGUAGUCCGGAUUGGAGUCUGCAACUCGACUCCAUGAAGUCGGAAUCGCUAGUAAUCGUGGAUCAGAAUGCCACGGUGAAUACGUUCCCGGGCCU